UACAGAGGGGGCAAGCGUUAUUCGGAAUUAUUGGGCGUAAAGGGCGCGUAGGCGGCUUUUCAAGUGGCGGGUGAAAGCCCUCGGCUUAACCGAGGAACUGCCUGCCAGACUGGAUCGCUUGAGACCGGGAGAGGUGAGUGGAAUUCCCAGUGUAGCGGUGAAAUGCGUAGAUAUUGGGAGGAACACCAGUGGCGAAGGCGGGUCUCUGGGCCGUAACUGACGCUGAGGAGCGAAAGCGUGGGGAGCGAACAGG
rnacentral:rRNA from 1 species